AUGCGCGACCUCAAGCACGUCGUUGUAGCUUGGGUGACUGAGUUGUUGUCCGUCUUAUGGGGACUGAGAACAACUCCGAACCAGCCGACUGACCGAACCCCUUUCUUCAUGGUGUAUGGUGCUGAAGUUGUGCUUCCGAGUGACUUGCUGCACAACGCUCCCCGAGUGGAACUCUUCUCAGAAGCUGAAGCGGAACAGGCACACCAGGAUACAGUUGAUCUCCUGGAGGAGGAACGUGAGAUGGCUCUGAUCCGGUCGACCAUCUACCAACAAGAUCUGCGUCGAUUCCAUGCCCGUAAUGUCAGAGGUCGAGAGUUCCAGGAAGGAGACCUUGUGCUCCGGGUGGAUCAGAAAUGA
rnacentral:rRNA from 1 species